rnacentral:rRNA from 1 species
GACGAACGCUGGCGGCGUGCUUAACACAUGCAAGUCGAACGGAAAGGCCCUGCUUUUGUGGGGUGCUCGAGUGGCGAACGGGUGAGUAACACGUGAGUAACCUGCCCUUGACUUUGGGAUAACUUCAGGAAACUGGGGCUAAUACCGGAUAGGAGCACCUGCUGCAUGGUGGGGGGUGGAAAGUUUCGGCGGUUGGGGAUGGACUCGCGGGUUAUCAGCUUGUUGGGGGGGUAGUGGCUUACCAAGGCUUUGACGGGUAGCCGGCCUGAGGGGGUGACCGGACAUAUGGGGACUGAGAUAGGGCCCAGACUCCUACGGGGGGCAGCAGUGGGGAAUAUUGCACAAUGGGCGGAAGCCUGAUGCAGCAACGCCGCGGGCGGGAUGACGGCCUGCGGGGUGUAAACCGCUUUCGCCUGUGGCGAAGCGUGAGUGACGGUAAUGGGUAAAGAAGCACCGGCUAACUACGUG